GGGUUGUGAGGUUAAGCGACUAAGCGUACACGGUGGAUGCCCUGGCAGUCAGAGGCGAUGAAGGACGUGCUAAUCUGCGAUAAGCGUCGGUAAGGUGAUAUGAACCGUUAUAACCGGCGAUUUCCGAAUGGGGAAACCCAGUGUGAUUCGUCACACUAUCAUUAACUGAAUCCAUAGGUUAAUGAGGCGAACCGGGGGAACUGAAACAUCUAAGUACCCCGAGGAAAAGAAAUCAACCGAGAUUCCCCCAGUAGCGGCGAGCGAACGGGGAGCAGCCCAGAGCCUGAAUCAGUGUGUGUGUUAGUGGAAGCGUCUGGAAAGGCGCGCGAUACAGGGUGACAGCCCCGUACACAAAAAUGCACAUGCUGUGAGCUCGAUGAGUAGGGCGGGACACGUGGUAUCCUGUCUGAAUAUGGGGGGACCAUCCUCCAAGGCUAAAUACUCCUGACUGACCGAUAGUGAACCAGUACCGUGAGGGAAAGGCGAAAAGAACCCCGGCGAGGGGAGUGAAAAAGAACCUGAAACCGUGUACGUACAAGCAGUGGGAGCACAGAGCAAUCUGUGUGACUGCGUACCUUUUGUAUAAUGGGUCAGCGACUUAUAUUCUGUAGCAAGGUUAACCGAAUAGGGGAGCCGAAGGGAAACCGAGUCUUAACUGGGCGUUAAGUUGCAGGGUAUAGACCCGAAACCCGGUGAUCUAGCCAUGGGCAGGUUGAAGGUUGGGUAACACUAACUGGAGGACCGAACCGACUAAUGUUGAAAAAUUAGCGGAUGACUUGUGGCUGGGGGUGAAAGGCCAAUCAAACCGGGAGAUAGCUGGUUCUCCCCGAAAGCUAUUUAGGUAGCGCCUCGUGAAUUCAUCUCCGGGGGUAGAGCACUGUUUCGGCAAGGGGGUCAUCCCGACUUACCAACCCGAUGCAAACUGCGAAUACCGGAGAAUGUUAUCACGGGAGACACACGGCGGGUGCUAACGUCCGUCGUGAAGAGGGAAACAACCCAGACCGCCAGCUAAGGUCCCAAAGUCAUGGUUAAGUGGGAAACGAUGUGGGAAGGCCCAGACAGCCAGGAUGUUGGCUUAGAAGCAGCCAUCAUUUAAAGAAAGCGUAAUAGCUCACUGGUCGAGUCGGCCUGCGCGGAAGAUGUAACGGGGCUAAACCAUGCACCGAAGCUGCGGCAGCGACGCUGAUGCGUUGUUGGGUAGGGGAGCGUUCUGUAAGCCUGCGAAGGUGUGCUGUGAGGCAUGCUGGAGGUAUCAGAAGUGCGAAUGCUGACAUAAGUAACGAUAAAGCGGGUGAAAAGCCCGCUCGCCGGAAGACCAAGGGUUCCUGUCCAACGUUAAUCGGGGCAGGGUGAGUCGACCCCUAAGGCGAGGCCGAAAGGCGUAGUCGAUGGGAAACAGGUUAAUAUUCCUGUACUUGGUGUUACUGCGAAGGGGGGACGGAGAAGGCUAUGUUGGCCGGGCGACGGUUGUCCCGGUUUAAGCGUGUAGGCUGGUUUUCCAGGCAAAUCCGGAAAAUCAAGGCUGAGGCGUGAUGACGAGGCACUACGGUGCUGAAGCAACAAAUGCCCUGCUUCCAGGAAAAGCCUCUAAGCAUCAGGUAACAUCAAAUCGUACCCCAAACCGACACAGGUGGUCAGGUAGAGAAUACCAAGGCGCUUGAGAGAACUCGGGUGAAGGAACUAGGCAAAAUGGUGCCGUAACUUCGGGAGAAGGCACGCUGAUAUGUAGGUGAAGUCCCUCGCGGAUGGAGCUGAAAUCAGUCGAAGAUACCAGCUGGCUGCAACUGUUUAUUAAAAACACAGCACUGUGCAAACACGAAAGUGGACGUAUACGGUGUGACGCCUGCCCGGUGCCGGAAGGUUAAUUGAUGGGGUUAGCGCAAGCGAAGCUCUUGAUCGAAGCCCCGGUAAACGGCGGCCGUAACUAUAACGGUCCUAAGGUAGCGAAAUUCCUUGUCGGGUAAGUUCCGACCUGCACGAAUGGCGUAAUGAUGGCCAGGCUGUCUCCACCCGAGACUCAGUGAAAUUGAACUCGCUGUGAAGAUGCAGUGUACCCGCGGCAAGACGGAAAGACCCCGUGAACCUUUACUAUAGCUUGACACUGAACAUUGAGCCUUGAUGUGUAGGAUAGGUGGGAGGCUUUGAAGUGUGGACGCCAGUCUGCAUGGAGCCGACCUUGAAAUACCACCCUUUAAUGUUUGAUGUUCUAACGUUGACCCGUAAUCCGGGUUGCGGACAGUGUCUGGUGGGUAGUUUGACUGGGGCGGUCUCCUCCUAAAGAGUAACGGAGGAGCACGAAGGUUGGCUAAUCCUGGUCGGACAUCAGGAGGUUAGUGCAAUGGCAUAAGCCAGCUUGACUGCGAGCGUGACGGCGCGAGCAGGUGCGAAAGCAGGUCAUAGUGAUCCGGUGGUUCUGAAUGGAAGGGCCAUCGCUCAACGGAUAAAAGGUACUCCGGGGAUAACAGGCUGAUACCGCCCAAGAGUUCAUAUCGACGGCGGUGUUUGGCACCUCGAUGUCGGCUCAUCACAUCCUGGGGCUGAAGUAGGUCCCAAGGGUAUGGCUGUUCGCCAUUUAAAGUGGUACGCGAGCUGGGUUUAGAACGUCGUGAGACAGUUCGGUCCCUAUCUGCCGUGGGCGCUGGAGAACUGAGGGGGGCUGCUCCUAGUACGAGAGGACCGGAGUGGACGCAUCACUGGUGUUCGGGUUGUCAUGCCAAUGGCACUGCCCGGUAGCUAAAUGCGGAAGAGAUAAGUGCUGAAAGCAUCUAAGCACGAAACUUGCCCCGAGAUGAGUUCUCCCUGACUCCUUGAGAGUCCUGAAGGAACGUUGAAGACGACGACGUUGAUAGGCCGGGUGUGUAAGCGCAGCGAUGCGUUGAGCUAACCGGUACUAAUGAACCGUGAGGCUUAACCUUACAACGCCGAAG
rnacentral:rRNA from 1 species